rnacentral:rRNA from 1 species
UACGUAGGCAGCGAGCGUUGUUCGGAGUUACUGGGCGUAAAGGGUGUGUAGGCGGUCCUCUAAGUUUGGUGUGAAAUCUCCCGGCUCAACCGGGAGGGUGCGCCGAAAACUGGGGAGCUAGAGUGCGGGAUGGGUAAGUGGAAUUCCUGGUGUAGCGGUGAAAUGCGUAGAUAUCAGGAGGAACACCUGUGGUGUAGACGGCUUACUGGACCGCAACUGACGCUGAGACACGAAAGCGUGGGUAGCAAACAGG